rnacentral:rRNA from 1 species
UACGAGGGGGGCAAGCGUUGUUCGGAAUUAUUGGGCGUAAAGGGUGCGUAGGCGGUUUGACAAGUCUGAUGUGAAAUCUAUGGGCUCAACCCAUAGUCUGCAUUAGAAACUGUCGGGCUUGAGUAUGGGAGAGGUGAGUGGAAUUUACGGUGUAGCAGUGAAAUGCGUAGAUAUCGUAAGGAAGACCAGUGGCGAAGGCGAAUCUCUGGACAGUUACUGACACUGAGGCACGAAGGCCAGGGGAGCAAAACGGG